UGGGGAAUUUUGGACAAUGGGCGAAAGCCUGAUCCAGCAAUGCCGCGUGUGUGAAGAAGGCCUUCGGGUUGUAAAGCACUUUUGUCCGGAAAGAAAUCCUUGGCUCUAAUACAGUCGGGGGAUGACGGUACCGGAAGAAUAAGCACCGGCUAACUACGUGCCAGCAGCCGCGGUAAUACGUAGGGUGCAAGCGUUAAUCGGAAUUACUGGGCGUAAAGCGUGCGCAGGCGGUUUGCUAAGACCGAUGUGAAAUCCCCGGGCUCAACCUGGGAACUGCAUUGGUGACUGGCAGGCUAGAGUACGGCAGAGGGGGGUAGAAUUCCACGUGUAGCAGUGAAAUGCGUAGAGAUGUGGAGGAAUACCGAUGGCGAAGGCAGCCCCCUGGGCCAAUACUGACGCUCAUGCACGAAAGCGUGGGGAGCAAACAGGAUUAGAUACCCUGGUAGUCCACGCCCUAAACGAUGUCAACUAGUUGUUGGGGAUUCAUUUCCUUAGUAACGUAGCUAACGCGUGAAGUUGACCGCCUGGGGGAGUACGGUCGCAAGAUUAAAACUCAAAGGAAUUGACGGGGU
rnacentral:rRNA from 1 species